GACGUAGGGGGCGAGCGUUGUCCGGAUUUAUUGGGCGUAAAGAGCGCGUAGGCGGCCCGGAAAGUCGGAUGUGAAAACCCGGGGCUCAACCCCGGGCCUGCAUCCGAUACUCCCGGGCUGGAGGCAGGUAGGGGAGAUCGGAAUUCCUGGUGUAGCGGUGAAAUGCGCAGAUAUCAGGAGGAACACCGGUGGCGAAGGCGGAUCUCUGGGCCUGUCCUGACGCUGAGGCGCGAAAGCUAGGGGAGCGAACAGGAUUAGAUACCCUGGUAGUCCUAGCCGUAAACGUUGGGUGCUAGGUGUGGGGCGGCGAUUGACCCGCUCCGUGCCGUAGCUAACGCAUUAAGCACCCCGCCUGGGGAGUACGGCCGCAAGGUUAAA
rnacentral:rRNA from 1 species